rnacentral:tRNA from 1 species
AUUUAUUUAAUAUAAAUAGUAUAUUUGACUUCCAAUCAAAAAGUUUGUACCUUAUAACAAAAUAAAUA